rnacentral:rRNA from 1 species
UACGGAGGGGGCUAGCGUUGUUCGGAAUUACUGGGCGUAAAGCGCGCGUAGGCGGCUUUGUAAGUUAGAGGUGAAAGCCCGGAGCUUAACUCCGGAACUGCCUUUAAGACUGCAUCGCUAGAAUCGUGGAGAGGUGAGUGGAAUUCCGAGUGUAGAGGUGAAAUUCGUAGAUAUUCGGAAGAACACCAGUGGCGAAGGCGGCCAACUGGUCCAGAUCUGACGCUGAGGUGCGAAAGCGUGGGGAGCAAACAGG